rnacentral:lncRNA from 1 species
UCUGACUGAGAUGCAGAGAUGCUGAGCAAUUGACAUAGUUAUGACCUGCAGAUGAGGAGACUAUCCUCAUGGUCACUCAGGUCACUCAGUAUCCGUCUUCUGGACAGAAUGAAGAGGGUGGAAAAAGGACAUCAAAUUUUUUCCAGGUUUGCCAAGGUCAGCUAGGUGCCUAACCUUCAGAAUUUUGGUGUAGGUUUGUACAGCAUGGUCUAAGACAACGGAAAGUGAAGACUUUGGAAGCAAUGUCAUUUCUAGAUUAUAAAUUCUUAAAGUCAGUGGAGAGCUGUAUCAUUGAGCCAACUUACCAAACCUCUCUGCACUCUGGAGACAUAACUGUGUAUUAACAAGGAUAGCUCCGAGACAAAGUUCUGAAUGCUCACAUACCAUAUGGGCACAUAGCAAGAUGGCACACAUCAUGUCACAAGCACAGCCACUCACAUCAUCUCUUAAAUUUCAGUUGGUAAAUCCCAGUGCUAAUGGAUUACAUGAUAAACCCUAAUGCUAAAGGAUCACAUGAUAAGUCCCAAUCCAAAGGAGUAUAUAAAAACACAGAGCAAUAGUCUUGUUCAACAGACAUUCUCCAAGGGUAUUUUAGUUAGUGUUUCUGUUGCUGUAGUAAAACCCCAAUGUAAAAGAAACUCAGGAAGGAAGCAUUUAUCUCUUACAGGUAAUAGUCCUUCAUGGAGGGAAACCAAGGCAGGAACCUGGAAGCAGGAACUAAAAUGAUUGCAUGGAAAACUGAUGCUCUAAAAGUAUUUGCUCAAGAGUGGCACUACACACAGUGGAAAAGGCCCUCAUGCACCAAUCAUUAAUUGAAAAAAUGCCCCCCCACACACACAUGCCCAGGGACUAAUCUCAGCUUCUCAGUUGCAUCUCUUUCUUCUCAGGUGUCUAUUGUUUGUGUCAAGUUGACAAAACUAACAGUACACAGGUUAAGAUAUUCAGGCAACUUGAAUGCAGCAAAGUAGUUCCCUAAAAUUCUAUCUCUUAUGGAAAACAGGAGAUUAUAGUCAUAACUUUAUAUCUGAUGUUAUUGACAGAAAGUGAGAUCUUGGGUAUCAUAAUCACAGGAACAAUAUAGUGCACAUUUUCCUUAAAGUCAAACAGUGCAGUUUUGAGAACUAGUCAGAAACCAAACUUCUUGAAAUAGUGCAAGCAUGGUUCAUAGUCACCAGCAGCCUCUGACAGCAUACACUGUAGGCAAGAAAUAUGGCCUGUGCCCAUCAAAUCAGUGAAGGAAAGUUAUUGAUGAUGAUUUAUGGGUGAUAAGACCAGUAACAUUAGAAGCAUGUCCAUGGGCAGCUCAGUUUUGAGUACAAGCUAUUAGCUGGGAAAUUGUCAUACGACAAUGUCAGACACUAUGCAUCAGUGGGUCUUCUGAGUAAGUGUCUGCUCUGUAUGGCUGUUUCAUCUAAGUAAACUUCUUCAAUGUUAAACUAAGUUAGUUAUAAUUUUGUAGCAAUUACCAGAAUUGGUAUAUACAGGCUCUCAGUGAUAACAAAAUGUGCCUUUGUCAUUUCUAAGGAAAAUUCAUGAUUUAUAUUUGUCCUUCUGAGGUUCCUAAGAAAACAUGAUGUGGGGAGAAGACUUAUGAGGGAUGAUUGGUCCCAAGGUCACGCUCAAGAAUCACAUGCAUUCAAGGGACAUGAAUUUCCUCUAGGAACUUGAGCAAAGUUGUAAGCCUCCACCAUCUUUCUGGAACUGCCUUAGGCCUCAGCCAGAGGAGUAUGAAUAUCAACAUAUUUUGAGUGACAUCUUCAGAGAAAGCUAUGUGGGUCCCAUGGAUACAUGUGCCUACCCAUCACUGCCAGUAGGUAUUUGUGGGAAUAGAGACUUUGCCACAAAUGUGGGCUGUGUUUGCACUCUAUCUGUCCUUAAAAACUUUCCCCAUAGUCCCCCCCCCCACCAAAGUCUAAUUGAAGCCAUUUUACAGACUGUAUAUGAGUGAUUGACUUCAAAUGGAUCUUGAAAAUAAACAUCUAGUGGUAUAAUUUUAUAGAAAUAUUUGGCAACACAUGAAGUGUAACACAAAUUACAAAUUUUAUGUUAAAACUAUUUUUCUCUGUAAUCCAUCAGAAUUUCCUAUGGCAGAGACAAUUGUAGGAUUGAAGAUUCAAAGUUAGUAAUGUAAAACAAUAUUAAGAAGUGUUGAUACUCUGUCUGGACUCCACCCCACAGUUACCUGGCAACAACCAGAUAGGCCUGGCUCACUAUAAGAGGGGCUGUUUGCUCCCUCCUCUCUUACUCUCUUACUCUUGUCUCUCUCUCUCUUGCCUCUUGCCCCUUUGCUCCUCCUCUCUCCCCAUUCCCUUCCCUCCUCCCUCCACAUGGUCAUGGCCGGCCUCUACUUCUCUACUCUCUUCUUCUCUCUGCCUUUCUCUGCCUCUACUACUCUCUUAACUCCCCUCCCCAAGCCCCAAAUAAACUCUAUUCUAUGCUAU